UGCCAGCCGCCGCGGUAAUACGAAGGGGGCUAGCGUUGUUCGGAAUUACUGGGCGUAAAGAGUUCGUAGGCUGGUAGAUAAGCCAGAGGUGAAAUCCCGGAGCUCAACUCCGGAACUGCCUUUGGAACUGUCUAUCUAGAGUUUGGUAGAGGCAAGUGGAAUUCCUAGUGUAGGGGUGAAAUCCGUAGAUAUUAGGAGGAAUAUCAAUGGCGAAGGCAGCUUGCUGGGCCAAUACUGACGCUGAGGAACGAAAGCGUGGGGAGCAAACAGGAUUAGAUA
rnacentral:rRNA from 1 species